CCACGGGCGGACGCGGCCGAGCAGCAGGUAGAUCCAGUACAGCGCGGCGGAGAGGGAGGACACGAGGGGCGGCACGGGAUGCCGGUGGAACACCUGCCGCAGCCGCCGCCGCACGCCCGUGACCGGAGCACCUGCCGCCGCCGCCGCCACCUCCUCUACGCCCGCGUCCGGAGCACCUCCCACAACUCCAGCGCCUCCUCAGCGGACCGGCGCCUCCCCGCAGACCGAGGCAUCCCACAACUCUGGCGCCUCCGCCGCGGACCGGGACUCCACCGCGGACCGCCGCUGGCGAACGCGCGUGGGCUCCCCGUCGCGCCGCCUCCCCCAAUGUCGGUCUCCGCGGAGUGCGCCGAGCAAGAUCCCACGGACGGUGCAAGCCCGCUGCGCCGCCGCCUCCACGCCCGGAGCGCCUCCCCCGCGGAUCGCCGCCUCCCCCAUCUCUGGCGCGCGAGUCGCUGGCACGCACGCUCAGCACCCACCUCCUCCGCCGCACCGCCGAGGCGCGAGCUGCAGGCGGAUCGAGCUGGCGGAGUCCAUCCGCUCACCGGUCGUUUUGGCGGGCCACCAACCCAGCACGGCCGCUGCACUCCGGGGACGCUCGAGGUCGGGCCCCGCGGUCUCUUCGCUCCCAUGCCGCCACCGUCGCAAGCGCCAUGGCGGAUCUCGCUGCAGUCCUCCAUGAGUUUGCCUCCUAUCGCACCUUCCUCUCCCCAUCCGCUGAAAAUGAUCGAUUGGCAGUGCCGGCUGCGGCAGGCGUCGGGCGCGUGCGCCGUCCUCGCCCACGAGCUCCUCCGCUCGCUGCAUCAGGCGCUCCGUUUCCAACCGGUUUCUCUCUCGUACUGUAGUGGGGUGGCUCGUAAUUGCAUCCUUCUACUGUUUAUGCGCAAAGUUGAGGUAUUCUGACUUCAAGAUAUAUGCCACCAAAUGACACCCUGUUCUGUUUGGGGUCCAAAUAUGCCAGACAGAGGUGGUGCUGAUAUUCCAAACUCAAAUGUAUGGUGGCCUUGGCAUGAGUUCUUCUAAUGAUUAAGCUCAUAUUGGCUCAAGCAUAGGAAUUUGUUGAUUUAAUUAAGCCUACCACUUGGUACUCUUGACUACUUUUUGAAUGGCAAAAUUCAGUGCCUUCAGAUAUACCACAAAGAGUGCAGCAACAGCAAGCCAACAUGUAUCUUAUUGGGUGUUCGAGCUGGAUUGGCCGUUGUUCUCUCUUAUUGGUUAGCCAACCACGUACAAAUUCCUCUCACAGUGAAUGCAAUGUUUCCCAAGCUGAGUUGUGAAAGUGCUUACUCUCUGAUGGCGCUUCUUGGUGCAAAGUGCAAACAUAAUGACACACAGCUUUACAUUCACUUGGACGCAAGCCUGGCUGGGACCCCACGGUGCAUCGCAACAGCAACGAGAACUCCCUUGGAUCCUACUUCUGCAACUCAAUUUGAGGACGAUAAAGCAAUCAUGUGAGGACCUAAUCGGACCUAAUCCUUCUUCAUCUUGAAAAAGUUCUUAAUGCCAAUGUUCGUGCUUACCUGAUCUGUUUAGACCAUUUGAUUGCUAUGUGAAUAACUCUAUAUCUUAGCAACAAUAGUGGAGUGCAGACUAUCCCAAUGCAAAACACAAAUCGAUUAAAUAUAUAUGAGGCAGUGUAUCUAUGUUGUUAAGUGAAUUUUUGGAUCUAUUAUUUUUUCUAAAAAGAGAAAAUAGACAUCAGUUACAAUAAUAAACCAAUUACAUGAUCCUACCAUUCAAUCAAGGUUUUCAUGGCUUAUAAUGUCAGUUAGGACUGGAAUUAGUAAUAUCUUACCUUGUACAAAGUAAUUUUAUUUCUAUUUCAUAGGGUGAACAUGCUUUAGAUUCUUCUGGAACUGCAACUAUUAAGUAUUCCCUGCUUAAACCAUUUUUCUAGAGGAAAAUAAAGUUGCCACGCUUUCCUGUGCAAAGAUAUCAUUUAUUGCUAUUCUCUCUCUCUCUCUCUCUCUCUCUCUCUCUCUCUCUCUGAUCCUGCUUAUAAUGUAUGAGAUAUCAUUGCAGAGAUAUGUAUGUCUGAUUAUUUAGAAGCGUCAAGUUCAGAAUGGAAGCUUGCUAUUGCUUUUUCAUCUGGUAUCCUUGCAGUAAUAAACUCUUUAAGCUAAAAGGCUCCUGCAAUGCAGCAUACAGAUAAUAUAUAUUGUUAAUGCAGUGUACUAUGCUUGGUCUCAUGGAAGUAAAAUGUGUCAUUAAUUUUCAUUUUCUCAUACAGUUCAGAUAGGAUCUAACUGGUUGGGAGAAGGCAACCGUGUGGAUGUUGAUUCUGUUUUAAGCUACCUUUUUUUGUUGAUGUUUUGGUCAAGUUACAUGGUCAUGCGAUGCCAUUUUCAUCUUGCUUUGCAGGUGCUCUCUAGUUUGUAUCUGGGUUCACAACAAAAUACUCCCUCCGUCCUAAAAAAAAUAAAUCAUUCUAGGAUUCAAAAUUUAUCAAAAAACAAGUCAUCUUACCCUAUUUAGAAAGUGCAUGUGCAUGCAAGAAUCAAUUGGUGCUAAAUAUGGAUAAUAAAUAGGGGCAAAUAUCAUCAUUUUACCUUCUUAUUAAUUUAUCCUAGAAUUUUAAGAAUAACUUGUUUUUUAUUACGGAGGGAGUAAGUUUCUUAAUCAAACGUUAACAUUUUUUCUCCUGAUUUUACUUGUGUUGUCACACUGAAUAUAGUUCAUCCACAUGCACUGUAACAUUGAAUUAUAUGAAUUCAAUUGUUCAAUAAUUUUGUAUGUGUCUCAA